rnacentral:misc_RNA from 1 species
AAUAAUUGUAAUAUGAAAACUGCCAAACUGAAAUUGUAAUUGUAUAUUUUGACAGAUGAUAGGUUACGCAAGAAAUAGAGAAUGCGUAAUCAAUCAGUAAUAUUAAUAUUCAGAAACAUUUCAGAAUAGUAUUGUGAAAAUUUGUUAUUGUGUAAUAAAUAUAAUUCUUAUAUUUUUCAUAUUUUGUAUAUUAAAGCUAUGUGAUAAAUUCAACAUUAUUUAUAUAUAAAAGAAAUUUACACAAAAUUUAUUGUUUAUAUAAAAUGGAAGUACCAAAACAACGAAAGAAAAAAAGAGAAGAAAAAUCCAAGUUUUCUAUGGAACAACAGAUACCAGAUGUUCCAACAUUGGAAGAAUUUGAAUGUGUUCUCGAAGAAUCUCCUACAAAUUAUCCAAAAGGAGAAGGUGUUGAAAAUAUGGAAAGUGAAUUACAUUCAGCUGCAAUUGACACUGAACUCUAUGAAAAACAAUCAGUUCAAAUAGUUUCAGAAGAAACAGAAGGAUUACAAACUAUAAAUGACAAAACCAAAAUUAAUAAUGAAACUGAAAAUAGUUUAACAUCAGCAUGGAAUAAUUUAAAUGAGAAAGUGGAAGAAGUUAUAACAUCGAUUUCUACAAUAGAUUUAAUAGAUAAUACAUCUGAUGGCUUUAAUAAUGAAAGUAUAACACCAAAUUUAUCUCAAGAUUCAAAUAUAUCAAAUUCAAAGAACUUUAUAUACGAUAGACGGACAAAAAAUCAAUCAGAUUCUAUCAUAAAUCAAGUAGAUGAUAUACAUACUUCUUUUAAAGAAAUUAUACCAUUUACAGAGAGCCAAUUAACAUCAUUAUAUUUCAAUCAGGAAUUAGCAUGGAUUGAUAUGUUUAUUUCAGAAUUUGCAGAAAUACAACUUAGAAGUAAUGCAAUUAGACAGCAACAUAGAUUACAUGAGCUUUUAAUGAAUUAUCUUCGUGUAAGAAAUAAUUUAAUUAUCAAUUCUCAUGAAUUGGAAAUUUUAAAAAAAUCUUGUAGAGAAAUGCAAAAACAAUUAUGGUGUUUAGAUAAAGCCUGUAUUAAAGAAACAGGAGAAUGUCAAGAUGGAAAUCCUGUUGUUGCUACACAUGAAUAUUAUAUUGCACGUUUUAAUCAGCAGACAUUAGCUGCAUUAACUCGAAAUUUAUCAACAAUAAAAGAUCUAUUACACAAUACUCAAGCAUUAUAUUGUUAUGAAGCAGAAAUGUUAAAAUUUCAAAUUGAGUAUUAUAUUCAAAGAGUCUGCAUAUCUUGUAAAGAAUUUAUAAAUCUUCCUCAUAAUGCACCCGUAAAUUUAUUACCAAUACAUGUACCUUCUCAAACAAUUCCACAAUUAGUGGAAAUUAGAAUGUGCAUAACUAUAUUAUUCAAUUUUCAAAGAAAAUUAUUAAAAGAUGGUAAAUUUGUAACAGAUACUAGAGAAUGGCUUACACGAUUAAUAGCAAUCUUAUUGAGAGUAGCAACUUGGCAAGAUCAUUUAUUUAUAUUGAACCAUAUCUUGAGAUGUCCUGGUGGAGUAAUGAAUUGGGCUCGCAGUUAUGUUCAAACUCCAAUAUCACAACAACAUGGAAAAUUAGGCAUAUCUUCAUUAAAUGAUCCAUUUUUAGAUCAUAUAAUAGCUACAUUGGCUGUUAUUUUAUUACCCAUUAAGGAUAGAGAAAAAUUUCUUGAACAGGUACAACAAUCAUUACAAGAUACAAUAUGUAGUCCAGGUGAUACUGUUUGGGUAAUGUUGGAUGAAGAAGGAGAAGAAGAUGAAGAUAUUGCUAAUGUUGGUGCAAACUUAUUUGAAAGUGAUCUUAUUUCUUUAUUAAAUCAAAUUCCUUUUAGUAAAAUAUUUGAACAAGUAUUAUGUAUUCAAUAUCAAAAUGAUGAUUAUCAUCAAAAUAAAACUUAUAUUACGCAUCAUCAUUUGUUCCGGAUGUUUGCAUUUUUUACAACUAUUAUUAAACUUUUAAAACAAGGCUUGAAAACAUAUGACUCUCCAAGAUAUAGACAAUUAACCAAACGAUUAAGUGCAUUAAUUAAAGAUAUUGUACAAUAUGCUAAUGACCAAUGGGAGGAAUUUGAUAAAAACCAGAUUAAUGAUAUAUCAAUAUUGAAAAAACUUCAACUUGAAUUUGAUUGUUUUUUUUUGAGAGCAGUUUUAUGUAUAUUUUCUUCACGUCGUUUAGGAGCAUGGCAAUAUUUAGCUUCUCUGCCAUAUGAUUUAAUAUCAUCUAAUACUCUAUGGCAAAUAUUUUAUAUUUUACAUACUGACUGUACACAAAUAGAUAUGCAUAUUUCUAAUAGAUCUACUCAUGAUUGGAUAAAUGAAUUAAAUUCUUCACAACUUUGUACAAAAUUUGAAGAAAAAUUAAGUAGCAUGCCAGGAGAUGAAUCAUAUUUUCUUUUAACAACUUUUGCUAAUAUGGCUUUAGCAAGAACUGAGCAGGAUUAUGAUUUUGUGAAAACAACAACAAUAGAUCUAUUUCAAAUUGGAUUUCUUAGUGAAAAAACACAAGAUUCUUGUUCAAAAGAUGCUCGAUCUCUUCUGUCAAAUUUAACAUAUAAAUAUCCUUCAUUACUAUCAGAUAUUUUACAAAAAUUACGAGAUAAUUUUGUAUCAGCUGGAAAGUUAAGUUUGUAUCUAUUUACUGAUUUAAAAUUAUACAAAUGGAUAUUACAAGAAAAAGAUAUAAUUAUUCUUUCUACAUGGUUACAUCAAUAUCCAUUGACAUCAACUGAGAAUCAUUUGGCCCGUUUAAUCCUUACUCACUUAAAUUGGGGAUUUGAUGAAAAUGGUAGUUUGUAUCUUCCUAUUGAUUUACAUAGACGUAUAGCAUUAUUAAUUGUUGAACUUACUAUGAAAUAUGUACCUGAUUCUUCUGUUCAAAAUACUUCUUUAUUAGUAGAAGGUGUUAAACAGAUGUCAACAAUAAUAAGGCCUCAAAAUACUGAACAUAUUUUUUCAUUAUGGGCAUGGGAUAUGGUUUCUAAACUUAGAUUACAUCAACUCGACCAAACUGAAGCACUUUGUCAUUAUGCACUUUUAAAUCCUACUGCAGCUUUUGCUCAUGUACCAGAUAUGGAUUCUGAUUUAAGUUUAGAAAUUUUAGUUACUGGUACACGAGAAAAGCAACCUAUUGCAUGUUAUGUAGCAACACUUAUGACAUUAUGGGGCCAUUCUAUACCUUUGAUAUGUUUAAAAGGUUUUGGUCAAUUAGAAAUAUUACAAUAUCAUUGUAAAUAUGAACAAAUGCUUAUAUGUUUACAUCAUAUAAUACCAUUAUUUUUGGAAUGUGUUGACUCAUUACUUAAGAAUGAUAAAUUUAUUAGUCUUGUUAUUUCUCUAAUUAUGGCUGAUAGAUCUUAUAUGAAAGUGGCUAAAAGCCUUAUAACCCUUGAAUUUCCAGGAACAAUACUGAAACAAUUUUCAAAUAUGAUACAUUCACAUUUAUAUAAUUAUAAAAAAUAUCGUUUACAGACACCAAAAGAAUUUAUAUAUCUAUGGUUGAAUACAUUUAUACGUAUACCAGAUUGGAAUAAAGAUCAAAGUAUAUUAUAUUUAAUGGAUAUAAUUAUUAGUGCUGCAUUUUUUCAUACAGACGCAAAAGAAACAGUGGAGCAUAUGUUUCAGAAUCUUUUCUCUCUUGCCACAGAGGAAAUUAAUGAGAAUGCAUCUAAUCGUAAUGUGAUGACAUCAUUUGGAUCAUUUUUAAAUUGGGCAACUGGUUCUUCAAAUUCAAUUAGUCUUUUAGGAAAAUCUACUCAAUCAGUAUGGGUUGCUCAUCAAAUAUUAUUAACUGAACAAUAUAAUAGAGAAAUUAAAACUGGAUUAUGGCAUGAAAUUUUAAAGGAAUUAUCAACGCAACCUAAUAUAUCAUUAGAUACUGCUAUUAAGCGAGCUUGUAUAACUGUAAAAAUGCAACCAUUUGGUGCGAAUGGAUUAUCUAUAUAUCGUUGGUCACAACAAGCUCUAGAUACACCUAUAGGACAUCCUAUUCUUCCUCUUUUAUGGCAAAAUUUUUUUGCUUUAUUUCUUGCAAGAGUCCCAACAUUAUCAGGUGUCAUUGAUCAUGGAGGAAUCGGUGAAAAAUUUUUUGAAGGCAUGAUUAAUUUAAGUUAUUUAAAAAAAUUAAAAAAACGUUUACAUGAUACUACAACAUAUUUUCAAUUAAAAGGAGAAAAAGAUUUAGAUAAUGGAAAACCAAUCACUGAUGAUAAACGUUCAUUUUAUUUUAAUGUAGCAAAAUUUUAUAAAACUUUAAGUUUGUGGCUUGAAGAACCAAGAUUGCAUGAACCAGGUCUUUAUUUACCAGCUCUACCUCCACAAUAUAUGUCACAAAAAUUAGUUUUACUUGUUCAAGAUAAUUGGACACCAUGGUUAGAAUAUAUUGAUUAUUCAGCAGUUCAACAAAAUCAAAUAAUGGCUGUUCAAGAAUGGGAAUGUGCAUGUAAUAGAAAUCAAGAAACUUAUCAAAAAGGAAAAAAUGUAUCGACUUUACUUUCUGAAAAGAUUCCACCAUUACAAAGAAUAUUUAAACGAUUGACUACAUAUGAAUAUUCUGUUCCACCUCCACCUUUAAAUUGCAAUCAAGCAAUUUUUAAUUGUAUACCAAAAGAGAAUAUAUAUAAUUCAAAUUCAGUAAUUGAUCUCGUUAAACCAUAUCUUAAGAUAAUAUUAGAUUAUGCUCAGACAUAUAAUUUAAUGAUUUCUGAACAUACUGCAGUAGAUUCUAGCUUCUUGGAACUAGUGCCUACACUUUAUAGAGAGAAUGAGAAUCAAGUAACAUUGCAUGCAUUAUGUGAUCCAGCACCUCCAAAUCAGAAACACACUAGGUCAGGAACACCACCUACUGUGCAUUGUGCUGGUCCAGCAGUAAUUACAGUUAAAGUACUUGAAGCACACAUUAGUGAUGGUAUUGAUCAUAUGAUAACACAAAAUAGAGCUGAAUAUGAAAAUUUAUUGAUAAAAGCAAGUCAACCACCACCUAGUAAAGUUACUCAAGGAUGUCUUUUUAUUGAUCAUUUAAUUGCGAUGUUAGAACAUGAAAUAUUAACAAAUCGAACUAAUGAAAACAGUACGGCAUUAUACAAAAUCCAAGAAAGUGGAGUUAAAUUAUUUUAUCAUCUUAUAAAUUCUUAUACAGAAGAAGUAUCAUUAUGUCCACCAACAAAACAACUUAUUACUACUUGUUUAGAAAAAUUAGGGCAGUCAUUCAUUAAUGGAGAAGAAAAUCAAGGUCUACAAUUAUUAAAUACUAUUAUGCGAAAAUCAAAUCUGGGUGGUUUACUUGGACCUUAUUUUACACCUGUUGCUGGUAGUGCUUCAACAUUUUUACAAAUGUAUCAAACUGUUGUUGAAUUUUCAAGCAGCACAAAUGUCGAUCUUUGUUUUGUGUUACUAUCAAAAUUUGAUGUAGGAAUCUGGUUAAAUUAUAAGCGUCCAAGAUUAAGUGAACGAUCAACAUUCAUAGAUUUGAUAUCUAGAGCUCUUUGUAAUAUGGGUCUCAAUCCAGAAGAAACUAAAUUGAUAUUACAUGAGUUAUUUAGAAACCAUUUACGACUUAUAUUAUUACAUGAAUUUCCUGAACAUUAUGGCGAAGUUCUGAGUGUUGUAUUAAAAAGUAGUGAAAGUCAAAAUUUAUCACUAGAUGUUUGGCGUGAUUUGCUAGGAACCCUUAGUGGCAAAUCAAAAAAUGCUUUUUUGACUAAUUCUAAAAUUAGAGAUAAUAUUCGUCAUUAUGCUACUGAACAAAAACUUCUUUCUCGACAAGAGGUACAUGAUACAGCUAUAUUAUUAAGUAAACAUUUUAUGCAAGAACGUUUACAAUAUGGUCUUUAUGGAUUAUAUCCAAAAUAUAGAAUUUAUAAUGAUCCAUUAAGUACCUUCCUUGGCAUGAUAGGUCAUGCUCUUGUUGCACUUACACUGCAAUCUGAUCGAGGUUCAUUAGGAGAUCAAUUGUGCGAGAAAAUAUGGCCUGUUUUAAGUGAAAUGUAUUCACCUUGGAUUACACCAUAUUGGACGCGAAAUUUGAAAGAACCAACUGCUGCAUGGAUUCAACAGCUUACAGAUGAUCGAUCAGUUUUAUUACCAUGGAUUAUUGCAGAUGGUCCAUAUGCUAAUAAAUUCGUAGCAAUUUUUGUCGAAUGUAUUCGUUUUAUUAACGAUACUUUGCCAGCAUCUAGCAAAAUACUUUGUUUUGUUUGGCAAUUUUAUGUUACUAAUUUUGCACAUACUUCAGUUAAAGAUCAUAUUCUAAAUGUUAUUCAUGGCAAUUUUCUAUCAUUACCAUGGGAUCGUUUCUAUCCAUGUAUAAAUGAUGUUGAAUUAAUGGUAAAAGUAAUUGAUCAGUAUUUGCCAGAUAGUCAUUUAUUCCUUGGAAGUGUAUUUACAUGUGUACAUUGGUCACUUUGGAUAAAUGAUAUAUUAGCAACACAGCCAUCAACUAUUGUAGCAAGGAUGCACAUUUGUUUAUUAAAUUUAUUAGUAAAAUUAUCUAAUGAACCAAAUGUUAGACAGACUGAUAAAGUAAUUCAAUUAAUUAUGGAAGCUGAAAAAUUUUCUUGGCAUUUAUUAGAUGCUAUUACAUAUGAUCAUAUAAUUAAUUGGCAUGUUAUGAGUUGUGAUUCAAGAGUUGUUCUCCCUGUUUGUAAUGAUCAAUGCCAUCCAAUAGAUAUUGCCAUACAUAAUUUGUUAAAGAUAGCAGCAGGCUAUGAUUCUUUGAUAAGCCAUUUUCAUCCAACUACAUUGAAAAAAAGACAACUUUAUAUAAGAUCUUCAAUAAAACUAUUAAUCACUUGUACAACUCGAUAUAAAUCUUUAAUAUCUACAAAUCCAAAAAUAUUUAACAAUACAUUAUCAAAAAUGUUAGAUGAUAUGGAAGCUGUUAUUAUAAACAAUCUUCAGCUGUUUCAGAAUCACAACAAAUUCCAGAAGCAAGUUUAUUGAUUACCGAAUUGCUUCAUGCUAUAAAUCAAAAUGGAUUUCUUAUGGAACAUCUUCGUACUAGUUGGACAAUAUGGCUUUCAAAAAGAACAGAUAGUAAUCCAAUUCUCAUGAGUAUACUUAAAGUCAUUGGAACAACUAUUACUUCACCAUCUAUAUUCGGAGAUUUAAUGGAGACUGCAUUAGAAGCAUAUUUUAAAUUUAAUGCAUUUGAAGAAUUUUCACCAACUUGGGCUUCAGUCUUAACAAUUUUGCAAUCAAUAAUGCCUCGACAACCACCAGUGGAAUCAUUCUUAGUUUCUGAGGGAAAGCUUCUUGCUUUGUACUUUAUUUUACUUAAACGACUUCCAUUAUGUCAAGAUAUUAGAGAAGAAGGAGUGCUUCUCAUAAAUUUAGUUGACUGGAUCUCUGCUAUUAGACCAAC